GACGAACGCUGGCGGCGUGCUUAACACAUGCAAGUCGAGCGGAAAGGCCUCUUCGGGGGUACUCGAGCGGCGAACGGGUGAGUAACACGUGAGUAAUCUGCCCUUCACUCUGGGAUAGCCACCGGAAACGGUGAUUAAUACCGGAUACGACACGUCCAGGCAUCUGGUGCGUGUGGAAACUUUUUGGGUGGGGGAUGUGCUCGCGGCCUAUCAGCUUGUUGGUGGGGUAAUGGCCUACCAAGGCUUCGACGGGUAGCCGGCCUGAGAGGGUGACCGGCCACGCGGGGACUGAGACACGGCCCAGACUCGUACGGGGGGCAGGAGUGGGGAAUAUUGGACAAUGGGCGGAAGCCUGAUCCAGCAACGCCGCGUGAGGGAUGACGGCCUUCGGGUUGUAAACCUCUUUCAGCACCGACGAAGCGAUCCUUUUGGGGAGUGACGGUAGGUGCAGAAGAAGGACCGGCCAACUACGUGCCAGCAGCCGCCGUAACAC
rnacentral:rRNA from 1 species